rnacentral:sRNA from 1 species
CACCCUACAAGUUACGCCUACCAUCGUUAUCCGUUCUGUGCGAUGCAUUGUCGAACGAGUCCUGGGGGUUCCAAACCACUUAUUCGGGAUAAUGAUAAUGCGUAUGAACGAUGUCCCGCUACCACUACAGCGCUACUCAACCGCCCAGCGUGUCUUGGGUCGCUCUCAAAGGGGGAAGAAGGCUAGCUAGGGCUACUGCUACUAGGGCUUCUUACGCAGUAGAUGUGCGUGUGGAAUUCGCCGAUAUCGAACCUCUGUGGGUUCAUGGUUCAUACAGCUGGGGAUGGGAUUGGUGGUCUGGGCCGUUUUGUUUUACAAGGCUGUAUGUUUCUCUCGUACUUGAUGCGCUUAUGAUUCAAGGCGAUUUAUAUAUAUAUAUAUAUACUGCACAUAUACUAUGGAUCUCGAGAUCCAAGGUUGGCACAAGUUCCUUGGAAGUUCCCAGUAAGUUUCCAGUUGACGCGGAGAGGUUG